UACGUAGGGCGCAAGCGUUGUCCGGAAUUAUUGGGCGUAAAGAGCUCGUAGGCGGCUUGUCACGUCGGGUGUGAAAGACCGGGGCUUAACCCCGGUUCUGCAUUCGAUACGGGCUGGCUAGAGUGUGGUAGGGGAGAUCGGAAUUCCUGGUGUAGCGGUGAAAUGCGCAGAUAUCAGGAGGAACACCGGUGGCGAAGGCGGGUCUCUGGGCCGAUACUGACGCUGAGGAGCGAAAGCCAGGGGAGCAAACGGG
rnacentral:rRNA from 1 species